GGAGUGUUGUGGAAUUUCAGCAGUACUGUUUUAAUUAGUCUGGUAACAUUCACACUGUAAUGGUGUGAGAUGCCUUUCUUCCAUUGGAACUGAACAAAAGGCUGCUUUAGUGUAGCUGUUUGAUGCUGUAAAGUGAGGAGAAGGAGGAGCUCCCUGAAACCCAACUCCUGCUGUGACUGCCUAGAGAGGCUUUGCAACCCAAGCCCUUUCCCUUUCUGUAAGACAAAUCUAGUUUUGUGUUGAAAUUAUGACACUUUAGGGAUAAUACCCCCUUGAUACCAGUUGCUUAUGCUGUGAUUGUUUGCCGUAUCUGUUCAGGGAAAUAAUAUAAGCCUUUCUCUCUAAUUUCUCUUACAACUUUAUUAUUAGUUGCAUGCCAGCUAUGGUGCAUGCUUCCAUCAGUAGGUUUAUAAGACUCGUUGACAGGAGCAAUUCCAUGUGUAGCAGGUCUGAACUUAAUAUAAAAAAGUAAGUAAUACAGUCUUAAUGAUUACAGUGUUAGAAGAAAUGCUUAAUACUGUUAAGUACAGGGAUGCUAGAAUUGAAAUCAUAACAUUUUAAGGCAAGUAAAGAAAGCUGCAUUAGAGAGUGUGAAGUGAAUUUAGGAUCUCUCCAGAAGGGAGUUGUGGAAGCUUGAAGUUUUAUGUCCUAAAUGUUGAAGCUCCUGAAGGAUCCAGUCCCUUUCCAGGCAGCACGAAUUGUUCCUGUAAGAUUUAAGUGGUAUAAUUUGUACUUUUUUAUAGCCAAUGAAAUUGUUGUAGAAAUAUCUUCCCCAAAAAAAGAAUCUGAUAGGUUUUCCACAGUAUUUAAUACCACCUCCAUUUUUUCAGACAAAGACCCAGCUGUCAGACACAUCCUUGUAUCCAGCAGUGCCAAGUCCUACUUGCUUUGUGCAGCAGUACUGCUCUUUACUAGUGCUGGUGAAGGGAGAGUGUCUCCGGAUUAUGUGGUUACAAAACUUGGAAGGCCAGGAAGUGGUCAUCAGUCAAAAUUUGCUUACCUGAGCAGACACAAAAAAUUAAUGGGCAAAAGUACAGUGUGUAGGUAGGUUGAGAUUGUCAGUGUGCUUAAGGUUCUUUGAGGAGAACCUUACUCUAAGGGAGUGGGAUUAGCUCUCAAAAUACAAGAAUUUGGUUUUUAAAAUAUUUAGUAGAUUCAGCAAUGAGGUGUUGAAGGAACUGGCUUUUAAGUAUAUUAAUGUGCUCCCUACCUUUUUGAGUUUUUAUUAAUAAGUGACAUGGAAUGUUGUGUAUAUUCGAGUGGUCAAGAGAAAUUUUAAAAAGUCUAUUUUAUAUGUACUUUAAAAUUUUCUGCAAAUGCUUUUCUUUAAGAUUUGUAAAGUGUUCCCAAAAGGGAUAGUCUUCCCAAUUUUGAGCAUUACUAAUUUAUAAAGUGGUUUGGCAGUGGUUUUUAUGGACUAGUGUUUUACUACAUUUAGUGUAUAGAAACAUACUGCAACAAUUGUUACACUUCAGUCUCAUUUACUGCAGUCUGUAAUCUUAACAAAAAUUAGUCAAGGUUCUGUGACUGUAAAUUUCCAGCAGCUCUACCACACAGUGAAUGGUUGAGUUCUGCAUUUUGGAAUAUGAAUAAGAAACAUGUUUUAUCUAUCCCCUUAAAAAAAAAACCAACCAAUAACCUUCAUAUAAACAGUCUGCUUUACACAUAAACAUUCUUUGGAAUCCCUAGUGUUCCUUCAGCUGAAAUGGCAAAGGCUAAAAAGAUCCAUGAAAAACACCCUUGGUUUUGCUCAUACAGAAAUAUUUGUUGUUAAUAAUGAUAUUAAAUACCUCGGGAUAGCAUUGCAUUUAAUUCAAUAAAAUCAUCUUUGAAGAUUAAAGGUUCA
rnacentral:lncRNA from 1 species